rnacentral:rRNA from 1 species
UACGUAGGGUGCGAGCGUUGUCCGGAAUUAUUGGGCGUAAAGGGCUCGUAGGCGGUCUGUCGCGUCGGGAGUGAAAACUCAGGGCUUAACCCUGAGCCUGCUUCCGAUACGGGCAGACUAGAGGUAUGCAGGGGAGAACGGAAUUCCUGGUGUAGCGGUGGAAUGCGCAGAUAUCAGGAGGAACACCGGUGGCGAAGGCGGUCGUCUGGCGAUGACUGACGCUGAGACGACGAAGCGGUGGGAGAAACAGG